rnacentral:lncRNA from 1 species
AGCAGAAAGAAAUAUAUAAAGUAUUUAGAAAUAGUGCAAGUGACUGUUCUGAACAUAAGAUAGAAAUCAAAAACCACAGAAGCAUUAUAAUCCAGCCAUGUGAUGAAUUGAUGAAGUCCAAAAAAUUGAUCAGAUAGCCCGGCCGUGUGAGAACCUUCACGUCCAAUGGCCUCAAGAUGGGCAAAUGAAUGCUGCACCGGACA